UGGUCCAGACUUUGAUUAUGGCUCAGGACGAACGCUGGCGGCGUGCCUAACACAUGCAAGUCGAACGGAACUAUUUUAAAAGAUUUCUUCGGAAUGAUUUUGGCUUAGUUUAGUGGCGGACGGGUGAGUAACGCGUGAGUAACCUGCCUUCAAGAGGGGGAUAACGUUCUGAAAAGGACGCUAAUACCGCAUAACAUAUCGGAAUCGCAUGGUUCUGAUAUCAAAGAUUUUAUCGCUUGAAGAUGGACUCGCGUCCGAUUAGUUAGUUGGUGAGGUAACGGCUCACCAAGACCGCGAUCGGUAGCCGGACUGAGAGGUUGAACGGCCACAUUGGGACUGAGACACGGCCCAGACUCCUACGGGAGGCAGCAGUGGGGGAUAUUGCGCAAUGGGGGCAACCCUGACGCAGCAACGCCGCGUGAAGGAUGAAGGUUUUCGGAUUGUAAACUUCUUUUCUUAAGGACGAAAAUUGACGGUACUUAAGGAAUAAGCUCCGGCUAACUACGUGCCAGCAGCCGCGGUAAUACGUAGGGAGCAAGCGUUGUCCGGAUUUACUGGGUGUAAAGGGUGCGUAGGCGGCAAUGCAAGUCAGAUGUGAAAUCUAUGGGCUCAACCCAUAAACUGCAUUUGAAACUGCGUUGCUUGAGUGAAGUAGAGGCAGGCGGAAUUCCCCGUGUAGCGGUGAAAUGCGUAGAGAUGGGGAGGAACACCAGUGGCGAAGGCGGCCUGCUGGGCUUUAACUGACGCUGAGGCACGAAAGCGUGGGUAGCAAACAGGAUUAGAUACCCUGGUAGUCCACGCUGUAAACGAUGAUUACUAGGUGUGGGGGGUCUGACCCCUUCCGUGCCGGAGUUAACACAAUAAGUAAUCCACCUGGGGAGUACGGCCGCAAGGUUGCAACUCAAAGGAAUUGACGGA
rnacentral:rRNA from 1 species